UGCCCAGCAACUCCUAUCCCUACCUCCUCGCGAUACUGGCCGGGGUAAAAGUAACCUUAGGGAAGAUCGGGUAACCAACCCCGGUGGGAGCUUUGGUCGUAUGCUGACAGGGAAGG
rnacentral:ribozyme from 1 species